AAAUAGAUAAUUCAUUUUAAAUUAGGAAGAAAUUAACAGAAUCAACAUCAGUUAAAAAAAGUCUAACAUAAUUACUAACAAAUACAAACAGAACUAACUAAAUGCAACUUAAUGAUUUAGAGUAAAUUUCAGAUAUUUGAUAUGAAUUCCAAUUUCAUUUGAAUGAUAAUUCCUAACUAACUAUCAAAUUUGGGAGGAAGUUCAUUGUGAAUUUCAACCUAAAUUCUAACCAACACAGAAUUAUAUAAAAAUGUACCGUACUGAGAUUCUGCAGUUUCUUCAAAAAAAACUUCGAAAUCUUCAAUCCUUCACUCUUUCAGUCUCGUUUUCUUCACCUUCUCGCAAUUGAUUCAUCAUGCAUUUCCGUUUCAGAUCCUCGCGCCGCCAAGCUCACACCGUACAUCGAUCUACAACUUCACCAUAAAAGCGGUUCUACUGUCGCCGAUUGUCGCCGCGUCAGAGUUCCAUUCCGGUAAGACGCAACGGUCUCGGCGAUUCCGUCGUGGCUGUGAAUAAGGUUUCUUGUUGUUUGGUUGUGUAUUUCGUCGGACAACCAACAGUUUGUUGUGAGGCGAAGGAAGGGGGUUUCCGGCAGAUGAGGUUUCGUGGAGGGAGCUCGUCGGUAGUGAUAUUGUUGUUCGACGGUGUGGUUAUGAAGUGGUUCUUUGGUUGAUGGAAGACGGUGAAGUGAAGCACGGUAAAGUAGGUUGGGUUUGCCGGCGGCGAAGGUGAAGGGUUGUUGAUGACGGUGUGUGAGCAAGCUUUUCCCCGGUAUUGGUGGCGGAUGGAGAGAGGAUGGGGUUUGGUUUUUGUGUGUUGAAGUGGAGAUGAAGGAAGAAGAAGGUUAUGGUGGUGGCUUGCGUUUCGUGGACGGAGAUGUGGGGAGCGGCGAUGAGGGUUUGUGUUGAGAGAGAGAGCUUCUUUUUCGUCCCGUUGAGAGAGUGUGGAGAGGGGUAUUUGUUGGUCAGUGGAGAUGAAGGAGGUCCCCUCUCCUUUUUUAUUUUUUAUUUUCUUUUUCUUUUGAGAGCCGUUGGAGUCUCUUUCUCUUUUGUCUUUAUUCGCCCCCUUUAACCAAAAGCCACAUGUCUUAUAUUGUACCGAUAGAGGAGAAAGAUUUUCUCUUGGUGACAGCUGUGGGAUAUGAACGAAUUCUUCUUUUAUUAUUUGAAUUUUGGAGACUAAUUUUCUUUUUUUUAAAAAAAUUAACUAAGGCAAAAAAAAAAGAUUUAAAUAUAAUAUUGAAAUGAUUUCCAUUUAAAUAUAGUUGUUAUCUUAACUUAAAAGCAAAACUAAAAAGGAUUAUCAACGAAUAAAAAUCGGAUAAAAAUACUUGAAAAUUUAAAUUAGAUACACUAAAAUGAUCAACGCGAAAUAAAUUUAUUGAAAAAAUACAGCGUUUCUUUAAAUUUUGAAAUAGAUUUGCACCGGUUAAAAGACUCAGGCGGGUCAAAAUGCAACUGAAUCAGCUGCUGGAAAAUACAACGAGCACA
rnacentral:lncRNA from 1 species